rnacentral:rRNA from 1 species
UUAAUGAGAGUUUGAUCCUGGCUCAGGACGAACGCUGGCGGCGUGCCUAAUACAUGCAAGUAGAACGCUGAGGUUUGGUGUUUACACUAGACUGAUGAGUUGCGAACGGGUGAGUAACGCGUAGGUAACCUGCCUCAUAGCGGGGGAUAACUAUUGGAAACGAUAGCUAAUACCGCAUAAGAGUAAUUAACACAUGUUAGUUAUUUAAAAGGAGCAAUUGCUUCACUGUGAGAUGGACCUGCGUUGUAUUAGCUAGUUGGUGAGGUAAAGGCUCACCAAGGCGACGAUACAUAGCCGACCUGAGAGGGUGAUCGGCCACACUGGGACUGAGACACGGCCCAGACUCCUACGGGAGGCAGCAGUAGGGAAUCUUCGGCAAUGGACGGAAGUCUGACCGAGCAACGCCGCGUGAGUGAAGAAGGUUUUCGGAUCGUAAAGCUCUGUUGUUAGAGAAGAACGUUGGUAGGAGUGGAAAAUCUACCAAGUGACGGUAACUAACCAGAAAGGGACGGCUAACUACGUGCCAGCAGCCGCGGUAAUACGUAGGUCCCGAGCGUUGUCCGGAUUUAUUGGGCGUAAAGCGAGCGCAGGCGGUUCUUUAAGUCUGAAGUUAAAGGCAGUGGCUUAAC